GACGAACGCUGGCGGCGUGCCUAACACAUGCAAGUCGAACGGAGAUACGAUUUCGGUUGUAUCUUAGUGGCGAACGGGUGAGUAACGCGUGAGCAACCUGACCUUUAGAGGGGGAUAACACUUGGAAACAGGUGCUAAUACCGCAUAAGACCACGACCUGACAUCAGGAUGAGGUCAAAGGAGCAAUCCGCUAAAGGAGGGGCUCGCGUCCCAUUAGAUAGAUGGCGGGGUAACGGCCCACCAUGUCGACGAUGGGUAGCCGAGCUGAGAGGCUGAUCGGCCACACUGGAACUGAGACACGGUCCAGACUCCUACGGGAGGCAGCAGUGGGGAAUAUUGGGCAAUGGGCGCAAGCCUGACCCAGCAACGCCGCGUGAGGGAAGAAGGCC
rnacentral:rRNA from 1 species